AUAAAUAAAAGAAAUAAAAAUAAGCCACAGAGCGCUGCAAAGGAAAAUAAAAAAGGCAAAGCAGCGCGGAGCGCCCAUGUGCUCGGCGGAGCACGCGCUCGCCUCAAUGGAACGUUGUGCUGGCGAGAGGCUCGUGACGUCACCGCCCCCCCCCACACUCCCCCCUCUUUUUGGGUUCGCGAAGUGCCCGGGGAUGGAUGGAGGGGUGAAGGGUCGGAGGGUCCCGCACACCUUCCCCAGAAUGAAAGGAGGGGGGAGCAACUUUGGGAGAAGCAGGAGCUGCUGCAUGUUCUCCCCACUGCACGCACACCCCAACGGUACCCAUCAGAUGCAGUGCCUGGGCUAGAAGCUAUUUGUGCCACACCAAGCUCACCUGCACAGCACACAUCCAUACCCAGCUCAGGACUCCAGUCCUUCUUCUGCAAAACGCACGCAGAGCUGCUGUUCCACAUUACCUCCAAACGAAGCUGCGAUUCCCAGCUCCCCAGACUCGCCUGUGUGCUACAUGGUGCCAACUCCAUGUGCCAUGAGGAGACAGAGGCAUCUCCACCCAGUGGCUGCCCGACUACCCAGAGAAGCCACCCAUGGUCGCACAGGUUGCUGUGGCCACCCCCGGUGAGGCAGCUCCGGUGAUCAGAAGUCAGGGUGCAGGCCCUGUGAGCACCCACAAACCCUCCUUUGGGUCAGAGCCCCUUCAGGGCACAGUCAGGAGGCUGGUGGUGGGGUGUCAGCUGGCUGCCAAGCAUUCCCCCCAGCCCUGGCAUGGGAGAUCGGCAAAGUCUUGAGUGUCUCUCAUUGCAGGAGGAAACCCCACAAUCCUCUUUCCACAAACACGUGUAAUAUCUGCUCAGUGCCUGCAUUGUUUAGCUCCGCAGCCUGCGUGGUGGUCUCACUCUGCAAAUUAUCCAGCGUUACAGGCUGAAUAAGCUCGGCCUGUGUCAAUCAGUGUAAUCACCUUUGCGACAGCCCUGCACACCCACGUGAGGUGGUGGCACUGCUCUGAGCUCAAACACAGCAAGGCCAAGGCCAAAUGAUGCGACGUGCUCUCACAAGGCCAAAGGAAGAGCAAGAGGCAUGCUGAAAAAUAAAUAAAUAAAUAAAUAUAUAAACA
rnacentral:lncRNA from 1 species